rnacentral:rRNA from 1 species
UCAUAUGCUUGUCUCAAAGAUUAAGCCAUGCAUGUGUAAGUAUGAAUUAAUUCAGACUGUGAAACUGCGAAUGGCUCAUUAAAUCAGUUAUCGUUUAUUUGAUAGUACCUUACUACAUGGAUAACCGUGGUAAUUCUAGAGCUAAUACAUGCUAAAAACCCCGACUUCGGGAGGGGUGUAUUUAUUAGAUAAAAAACCAAUGCCCUUCGGGGCUCCUUGGUGAAUCAUAAUAACUUAACGAAUCGCAUGGCCUUGCGCCGGCGAUGGUUCAUUCAAAUUUCUGCCCUAUCAACUUUCGACGGCUGGGUCUUGGCCAGCCAUGGUGACAACGGGUAACGGAGGGUUAGGGCUCGACCCCGGAGAAGGAGCCUGAGAGACGGCUACUACAUCCAAGGAAGGCAGCAGGCG